rnacentral:lncRNA from 1 species
CGUCCUCAUCUAUAAAAGUCACAGUCUCGUUAGUACUUGGUCAUCCUACUGAGAACAACCGAGUUGUGUCCUGUUUUGCAGCCACCCCAGAGGGCCACGCCUGUGUCCAGAGGGAACAACAGUAUCACGUCUAACGCGACUAUUUCGGGGGAUGUCAACUCCUUUGUGGACAGCCAGUGGGGUCAAGAACUCUUUUAUGCCCCAGUAGGGCUUUACCAGGUACUUCUGAGGGCAGAGUGAUUACAUGCAGAUGUUCAAAUUCUGGUUGUACAGCUGUGUAACCUUGAACAAGUUCCCUAACCUCGAUGAUCUUGUCUGUAAAAGGAUGAAUCAUACCUGCCUUGCAGGGCCAUGCUGCCUGUUAAAUGAGGUCUCCUGUGUCGAGCAGUGAGCUCGGAUCCUGGACCCAGCACCGUGCUACCGCCCCAGGCGGGUUUGGGCUGGGAGGUGCUCAGCGAUCGCUUCCUAGGUAGAUUUCUUUCCCGUCUUCUUUUCCUCCCUCCACCGCCCCCGCCCUUUCCUAGCUCUUUCUGAGUGUAGCAUUUUCUGGUUAAUCCUGGGUUAAGAACAUUCUGCUCCUUCAGCUCCAGGGCAAACAUGUGGCCAUCUGGUAUGUUGGUGACCGAGUAGAAGCCUGGAUCAGGAAGCCGCCCGUGCUGCAGGAAAUCUGGCUGGGCCUGCUGUUCCUCCACAGGAGCCCCCUGGGGUCCCAUGGCAACCUGAAGCCUUUCGACUGCCUGGUGGACGGCCGGAUGCAGGUGAAGCUAUUGGGAUUUGGGUUGUGGGAACUCCAGCAUGGCCGGACAUACAGAACAUACAAUGAGGAAACGACGGACCCAUCAGAGUUCUUACUGGACAGCCCCAAAACUACUGUGGCUCCCCCGGUCUGGCACCUCGAAGGGAGAUGUUUACAGCAUUGCCAUCCUAAUGAGAGAGCUGAUCCACCACCAGGACCCUGGACCUUUUGAUGAUCAAAACCUGACACCAGCAGUGCUGUGCUCAGCCAUGUCUGACUCUUUGCAACCCCAUGGACUAUACCCCGCCAUGCUCCUCUGUCCACGAGAUUCUCCAGGCAAAAAUACUGGAGUGAGUAGCCAUUUCCUUCUCCAGGAGACCUUCUUCCUGAUCCUGGGAUUGAACCUGUGUCUCUUGCAUCUCCUGCAUGGACAGGUGGAUUCUUCACCACUAGCACCACCUGAAGGGCCCUUAUCUUUUCCCCUUUUUGUUUACUGCCUUCCCCACCAUUUCUAGUCCAUCCCUGACGGCCC